GACGAACGCUGGCGGCGUGCUUAACACAUGCAAGUCGAACGGUAAGGCCCUUCGGGGUACACGAGUGGCGAACGGGUGAGUAACACGUGGGUGAUCUGCCCUGCACUUCGGGAUAAGCCUGGGAAACUGGGUCUAAUACCGGAUAGGACCACUGCCUGCAUGGGUGGUGGUGGAAAGCUUUUGCGGUGUGGGAUGGGCCCGCGGCCUAUCAGCUUGUUGGUGGGGUGAUGGCCUACCAAGGCGACGACGGGUAGCCGGCCUGAGAGGGUGACCGGCCACACUGGGACUGAGAUACGGCCCAGACUCCUACGGGAGGCAGCAGUGAGGAAUAUUGCACAAUGGGCGCAAGCCUGAUGCAGCGGCGCCGCGUGAGGGAUGACGGCCUUCGGGUUGUAAACCUCUUUCAGCACCGACGAAGCGCAAGUGACGGUAGGUGCAGAAGAAGGACCGGCUAACUACGUGCCAGCCGCCGCCGUAACAC
rnacentral:rRNA from 1 species